rfam:Hymenobacter sp. PAMC26628, complete genome.
GGGCUUGUAGCUCAGGUGGUUAGAGCGCUACACUGAUAAUGUAGAGGUCCCUGGUUCGAGUCCAGGCAGGCCCA